AUAAAUGUGUAGUCUGUGUAAAUAUUUGUCAUCAACUGUAUGCAUAUGACUAGAACUGGACUAACCGGGGUUACGAAUUAGAACGGUUUAACUGAUCUUAUUCAUAACAGUUGAUAGGUUCACCGAAGGAGGUAAAAAUAUUGCUUUUGCGAAUAAUACACCAACAUGGAAACUGCACAGAAAAAUUGCGGGAAAGGCAUUAAGGCAAUAUAUGAUUGGAACUCAUUUCGAAGCAGUGCUUC